rnacentral:snRNA from 1 species
CAGUAGCACUCAUACUAAAAUGGGAAAAAUGGAAACAUACAAAUAUUAGCAUGAUCCCUCAGCAAGGGUGACACUCAGAUUUGCAAAGAGUUCCAUUUUUUG